rnacentral:rRNA from 1 species
UACGAAGGGGCUAGCGUUGUUCGGAUUUACUGGGCGUAAAGCGCACGUAGGCGGAUCGUUAAGUCGGGGGUGAAAUCCUGGAGCUCAACUCCAGAACUGCCUUCGAUACUGGCGAUCUUGAGUCCGGAAGAGGUGAGUGGAACUCCUAGUGUAGAGGUGGAAUUCGUAGAUAUUAGGAAGAACACCAGUGGCGAAGGCGGCUCACUGGUCCGGUACUGACGCUGAGGUGCGAAAGCGUGGGGAGCAAACAGGG